UGGGGAAUAUUGCACAAUGGGGGAAACCCGUAGAUGCAGCGACGCCGCGUGAGUGAAGAAGUAUUUCGGUAUGUAAAGCUCUAUCAGCAGGAAAGAAAAUGACGGUACCUGACUAAGAAGCCCCGGCUAACUACGUGCCAGCAGCCGCGGUAAUACGUAGGGGGCAAGCGUUAUCCGGAUUUACUGGGUGUAAAGGGAGCGUAGGCCGCCUGGUAAGCGUGUUGUGAAAUGUCGUUGCUCAACAACGUCACUGCAGCGCGAACUGCUGGGCUUGAGUGUGCGGAAAGCGGGCGGAAUUUGUGGUGUAGCGGUGAAAUGCUUAGAUAUCACGAAGAACUCCGAUUGCGAAGGCAGCUCGCUGUAGCAUUACUGACGCUGAAGCUCGAAGGUGCGGGUAUCGAACAGGAUUAGAUACCCUGGUAGU
rnacentral:rRNA from 1 species